GAGCAGGGACUUUUAUAAAUCACCUAUUUCUUUUACUAUCCUAACGCUGACCACAGGCUGAAUAAUAACCCACUUCAGCGUUGCCGAGGACAGCAUCAUGGCAGGCCAGAGAGUAUCCAUGAAGGAACCAGUAUGUCUGAUUAGAGAACGACAGUGAUGGGAAGCUGCGUGUUGUCCGCAGUGCACUGGACAUCCUGGACCAGAUUGACCAGCAUGUGGUAGUGGUGUCGGUGGUCGGGCUGUAAUGCACCGGCAAGUCCUACCUCAUGAACAAGCUGGCUGGAAAGAGGAAAGGUUUUGCCCUGGGAGCCACCAUCCAGUCCAAAACUAAGGGCAUCUGGAUGUGGUGUGUGCCUCACCCUGAAAAAAGAGACCACACCCUGGUGCUGCUGGAUACAGAGGGUCUGGGGGAUGUGGAGAAGGUGGGAGGUCAAAGUUCACUCUCUGUCAAAAACCUUUUAUGGCUCAGAUUGUUUAGAUGACAGAAUGUAACAUUGCUAUGGGUAAAAUACCAUGUUAUCUCAAUAAACUGUGUCUAGUACAGAUAGCUGAUUUCAUCAUCUGUAUAUAAUGUCUGACUUAUAAAGGUAUGAUGUAUACCCAUUGAUUCUAAAGAGUAUAACAAAUAAAUAAGUACCCAUGAGCUUAGGUCAACUGUCAUACCCCAUCAGAACCCAAAAUAUAAGCUUGUUUUACUCCAAUGUUAUACAGAACCUGUUAAAAUGUUAUCACUCCCGUAUUUAAGCAAAGUUGAGCAAAGCACUUCAGCGGUGAGGUCAGCGUUGACUGCUGCGCCAGUCACUGCAUCUUAUGGCUUUAAUUUGGAGGGGGGAGAAGAUGAGGAAGUUAGUGUUUCAAAUGAGGUCUUACAAGGUCGGUUGAAAAACUCCCAGACUUUGCAAAACCUUGGUUAUGGUAGAUCAUUUAGAAUCUGAGAAACGUGAUGAAUUGGUAGCUCUUAUUAGAAACUACCCUGUUUUGUUUUCUGACACUCCAUCGCAAACCCACUUAAUUGAGCAUGAUAUAGACAUCGGAGAUGCUACGCCUAUCAAACAGAUUUUAUCGUGUAUCUGAGGAGAAGAGAUUGAAACUGGAAACAGAGGUGCAGUAAAUGUUGGACAAUGGUAUUGUGGAGCCAUGUUCAAAUUGGGCUUCACCCUGUCUUUUGGUCAAAAAGUCUGAUUCCACUUUCAGACCUUGCACUGAUUAUAGAAAAGUUAACAAUGUUACUAUAGCAGACCUUUACCCUCUUCCUAGGAUGGAGGACUGUAUUGAUCAAGUUGGGUCAGCAAAGUAUGUUAGCAAAUUUGAUCUUUUAAAGGGAUAUUGGCAAGUACCCCUUACCAAAUGAGCUUGCGAGAUUGCUGCCUUUAUAACUCCAUCUGGUUUGUUCUCUUACACAGUGAUGCCUUUCGGCUUGCAGAAUGCUCCAGCCACCUUCCAGAGGCUAAUGAAUUGGGUGGUCUCAGGUCUGGAAGGGUGUGCCGUGUAUUUGGACGACGUGGUCGUCUACUCAGACUCCUGGGAGGAGCAUGUUUGGAGAGUGCAAGCCCUGUUCGAAAGACUGGUGUGGGCCAGGUUGACUAUUAAUUUGGCAAAAUGUGAGUUUGCCAAAGCUACAGUCACAUGCCUUGGCAAGGUUGUUGGUCAGGGAUUUGUCUGUCCCGUGGAAGCCAAGGUCCAGGCUGUGAAGCAGUUCCCACAGCCCUCCACAAAGAAAGAACUGAUGUGCUUCCUGGGAAUGGUGGGGUACUACAGUGCUUUCUGUAAACUUUUCGGUAGUAGUGUCUCCACUGACCAAUCUGUUGAAGGCCAGGGCUGAAUUUAUCUGAUCCACCCAGUGUCAAGAGACAUUUGAUGCAGUUAAGGCUAUUUUGUGUUUGGAACCUGUGUUGGCAGCACCAAAUUUUGGGAAACCUUUCAAAUUGCAGGUAGAUGCCAGUCAAAUCGGUGCUGAGGCUGUGCUUCUCCAGGAGAAUGAUGACAAUGUUGAGUGUCCAGUCAAGUUUCUUCUCCCGGAAAUGUAAUAAGUAUCAGCAAAAUUAUUCUGUAAUUGAAAAGGAGGCUUUAGGUUUCAUUUGGGCUUUACAGCACUUCGAGGUCUGUUGGUUCUGGUUUGACCCCUUUAACUGUGUUCACUGACCACAACCCACUUAUUUUUCUGAGGUUCCUGCAAAAUCCCAACCAGCGCCUGAUGCGUUGGGCUUUGUUCUUGCAACCAUUCAACUUUGAUAUUAAACACAUUAGUGGUAGGGAUAAUAUCAUUGCUGUUGCUCUGUCCCGUGCUCCUUUAACCUAGUUUGUAUCUUUUCUCUGCUGACCCCUACGGGCUGUCUGUGCCUCUUUCCUCUUAAAUUGCUCCCCAGGUACCAGGGCUGCCGAGUUUGAGGGGCGGACAGCUGGGGGACACAGGGCUACUGCUAGGAGGCGGGACUGGUAUCCUUUUUCUUUUUGGGGAAAUUUGGAUUGUUUUGAAUAUAUUGGAGAAAUUUGGGUUGAGGGUGGGACCCUCAUUUUUAAGGGGGGUAUCACGGCCCCUCUGCUUUGCAGGGGCGGUUCCUCCUGCAGGCAGAGGAGGGUCGUUAGUGAUUGGAGCCACCUGGGCUCAGGGUAUUUAAACUUGCUUCACUAAUCACUUCUCUCUCUCUGCUCCUCCAGGUAUGAUCCUGUUUUGUUUGUUCAGUUUUCAUUCAGUCAUAUUUACACUCACAGAUUCACGCAUCCCUGCACUUUACAUGCACCCUACAUUAUGAUACUUCCACACCUAUUCCUUUUUCUUUGUUUAAAGUUAAUAGUUUUGGUUUAGAAUAAAUAACCUUUUUAAUUGGCCUCUACCUGUUGUUUGUGUCCCCUCAGCCUGUGACAAAAAUAUGAGCUGGCCUGUGACUAUGUAUGUAUACAGUGCAUUCGGAAAGUAUUCAGACCCCUUCCCUUUUCCACAUUUUUAUGUUACAGCAUUAUUCUAAAAUGGAAUAUAUAUACUUUUUUGCAGCCACAUGCUAGACCUCAUGUGGCUGGAGUGUGUCAGCAGUUCCUGCAAGAGGAAGGCAUUGAUGCUAUGGACUGGCCCGCCCGUUCCCCAGACCUGAAUCCAAUUGAGCACAUCUGGGACAUCAUGUCUCGCUCCAUCCACCAACGCCACGUUGCACAACAGACUGUCCAGGAGUUGGCGGAUGCUUUAGUCCAGGUCUGGGAGGAGAUGCCUCAGGAGACCAUCCGCCACCUCAUCAGGAGCAUGCCCAGGCGUUGUAGGGAGGUCAUACAGGCACGCGGAGGCCACACACACUACUGAGCCUCAUUUUGACUUGUUUUAAGGACAUUACAUCAAAGUUGGAUCAGCCUGUAGUGUGGUUUUCCACUUUAAUUUUGAGUGUGAUUCCAAAUCCAGACCUCCAUGGGUUGAUAAAUUUGAUUUCCAUUGAUAA